UGAUCUACCUGGCAGGGGAAUAGUCAUGAUCAAGAAGGUGGUUCGCCCAGGGCGAGGCUAGCCAUCUGCACUCAGGUUGUGCUGACUUGCGAAAUUCCCAAAUGGGUGGAAUCUCGACGCAAAUUUCUGAUAAUCUGUGUUCGCGCUCUC
ensembl:snRNA U1 U1 spliceosomal RNA